rnacentral:rRNA from 1 species
UACAGAGGUGGCAAGCGUUGUUCGGAAUUACUGGGCGUAAAGGGCGCGUAGGCGGUCCGAUAAGUCCUGUGUGAAAUCCCUCGGCUCAACUGAGGAACUGCACGGGAGACUGUCGGGCUUGAGUUCGGGAGAGGGAAGCGGAAUUCCUGGUGUAGCGGUGAAAUGCGUAGAUAUCAGGAAGAACACCGGUGGCGAAAGCGCUCUGCUAGGCCGCAACUGACACUGAGGGACGAAAGCUAGGGGAGCGAAUGGG